rnacentral:rRNA from 1 species
GAUGAACGCUGGCGGCGUGCCUAAUACAUGCAAGUCGAGCGAACAGACGAGGAGCUUGCUCCUCUGACGUUAGCGGCGGACGGGUGAGUAACACGUGGAUAACCUACCUAUAAGACUGGGAUAACUUCGGGAAACCGGAGCUAAUACCGGAUAACAUGUUGAACCGCAUGGUUCAACAGUGAAAGACGGUUUUGCUGUCACUUAUAGAUGGAUCCGCGUCGCAUUAGCUAGUUGGUAAGGUAACGGCUUACCAAGGCAACGAUGCGUAGCCGACCUGAGAGGGUGAUCGGCCACACUGGCACUGAGACACGGUCCAGACUCCUACGGGAGGCAGCAGUAGGGAAUCUUCCGCAAUGGGCGAAAGCCUGACGGAGCAACGCCGCGUGAGUGAAGAAGGUCUUCGGAUCGUAAAACUCUGUUAUUAGGGAAGAACAAAUGUGUAAGUAACUAUGCACGUCUUGACGGUACCUAAUCAGAAAGCCACGGCUAACUACGUG